ACUGCUGGACAAGGAGUGUUGUGUUGAGCUCAUUUUCACACGAUGAACAACUGGCUUAGAACUGAUUCGGGCAAGGGGAAUCGGACUGCUUAAUUGAAACAAAGCAUUGCGAGGGCCUCAAAGGGUGGUGCCACAAUGUGAUUUCUGCCCAGUGCUCUGAAUGUCAAAGUGAGGAAAUUCAACUAAGCGCGGGUAAACGGCGGGAGUAACUAUGACUCUCUUAAGGUAGCCAAAUGCCUCGUCAUCCAAUUAGUGACGCGCAUGAAUGGAUUAAUGAGAUUCCCACUGUCCCCAUCUACUGUCCAGCGAAACCACAGCCAAGGGAACGGGCUUGGGUAAAUCAGCGGGGAAAGAAGACCCUGUUGAGCUUGACUCUAAUCUGACUUUGUGAAAUGACUUACGAGGUGUAGGAUAUGUGGGAGCUCUGGUGAUCUUGAAAUACCACUACUCUUAAUGUGACUUUACUUACUCUAUCAGACUGUGGCCUGCUUCCCAGCAGGUUUUUGUUUCUAGGGAUCUCAUCUGACUUGUUGACUUGCGUAGAGGACGUAGUCAGGUGGGCAGUUUGGCUGGGGCGGCACAUCUGUUAAAGGAAAACGCAGGUGUCCCAAGGUAAGCUCA
rnacentral:rRNA from 1 species